rnacentral:rRNA from 1 species
UACGUAGGGUCCGAGCGUUGUCCGGAUUUAUUGGGCGUAAAGAGCUCGUAGGCGGCCACUCAAGUCGAAUGUGAAACCUCGAGGCUUAACCUCGAGCCUGCAUUCGAUACUGGGCGGCUAGAGUCUGGUAGGGGGAUCUGGAAUUCCUGGUGUAGCGGUGGAAUGCGCAGAUAUCUGGAGGAACACCGGUGGCGAAGGCGGCAUCCUGGACCGGUAUUGACGCUGAGGCACGAAAGCGUGGGGAGCAAACAGG